AGCUGCAGAAGAAGCACCGGCUAACUCCGUGCCAGCAGCCGCGGUAAUACGGAGGGUGCGAGCGUUUAAUCGGAAUUACUGGGCGUAAAGCGCAUGCAGGUGGUUUGUUAAGUCAGAUGUGAAAGCCCGGGGCUCAACCUCGGAAUUGCAUUUGAAAACUGGCAAACUAGAGUACUGUAGAGGGGGUAGAAUUUCAGGUGUAGCGGUGAAAAUGCGUAGAGAUCUGAAGGAAUACCGGUGGCGAAGGCGGCCCCCCUGGACAGAUACUGACACUCAGAUGCGAAAGCGUGGGGAGCAAACAGGAUUAGAUACCCUGGUAG
rnacentral:rRNA from 1 species